UUCAAAACACUCGAGUACCCGUACACUUAACUUCAAGCAUAAUUUACCUCGUGUCUUAGUGUUAGACUCAUUUGCGUCACCGAGCGCUUGAUAAUUAUAGUGUAUGAUGCGCAAGUUUCAAGUAAUUUCUGAGCCCCACUUGAACCAAAGUUUACCUUGUGAUAUGUUUAUUUUUUUUUGCGACAAACGCGUUAAUGUGCAUACAUACGCACAACGUUGUUAAAAUGACUCGGUGACGCGGCUGGGAAGGCUUUUUAAGAUAUACACCGUCGACUUGAUCCUGCUAACGGAUAAACUAUGAAUUACAUGCAUUAAUCGCAGCUUCACGAUCCAAGACCGAAUGAUAAUUAUACGAUAAAAGCUACGCACCUUACGCCGAACAUCCGUUUGGUCGAUGGCAUUAAAAUGAUCUUUCAAAAAACGGCUAACAAUAGCUGCACGGCAGUGGCAACUUCACAGUCCAACGAUUGGUUCGUUAUAUUUGACUAUGGAACGAACUACUGUAAUCUCCACAAUCUCGUAGUUGGUGCAGGUCUUGAUACGGAUCAAAAUUUUUUCGAGUCAACCAACAACGCUGUUUGUACGCAAUUGAACAUGGCAUCCUGCAACUAAUAUGGCUUUGAGAGUGUCGAAAAAGACAUCUGUUUUAUUUAUAUACUUUUAUCAAGACACAACGUUUAUUACUAUUUAUAUACACUGCUCGACCUCUUGUACGGACAAUUGCCUCGGGUAUUAAUUCUUGGAGCUAAUAAAGAUCGGCAUCCUUUCUCGUUUGAAAUUA